rnacentral:pre_miRNA from 1 species
AGUGAGAUAGCUGGGUUAAAUGGUGGUUCCAUUCCAAGUUUUCUGAAAAAUCUCCAUACUGCUCUCCAUAGUGGUUGAACCAAUUUGUAGUCCCACCAGCAAU